rnacentral:rRNA from 1 species
GUGGGGAAUCUUCCGCAAUGGAUGAAAGUCUGACGGAGCAACGCCGCGUGAGUGAUGACGGCCUUCGGGUUGUAAAGCUCUGUGAUCGGGGACGAAUGGCUGGUAUGCUAAUACCAUAUCAGAGUGACGGUACCCGAAUAGCAAGCCACGGCUAACUACGUGCCAGCAGCCGCGGUAAUACGUAGGUGGCAAGCGUUGUCCGGAAUUAUUGGGCGUAAAGCGCGCGCAGGCGGCUUCUUAAGUCCAUCUUAAAAGUGCGGGGCUUAACCCCGUGAUGGGAUGGAAACUGGGAGGCUGGAGGAUCGGAGAGGAAAGUGGAAUUCCUAGUGUAGCGGUGAAAUGCGUAGAGAUUAGGAAGAACACCGGUGGCGAAGGCGACUUUCUGGACGACAACUGACGCUGAGGCGCGAAAGCGUGGGGAGCAAACAGGAUUAGAAACCCGAGUAGUCC